rnacentral:lncRNA from 1 species
GCCAGUACAGGAGAAGCUCAAUGUUCUUUCUUUAAGAAGGGCAAAUCAUUCCUUUCAGACUAAGAGGAAAUUAUUACAUAGGCCUCAAAGGCUACUACAAAACAUAAACAUGAGGAUUGAAGGAAAAUCCAUCUACAAAGAUGCCAAAAGGAUGAAAUCAAAAUAGUUUCUGUACUUUCUUGCUAUUUUGUGAACCUCAUGUGUGCUAGUCCACCAUGUGCUCUUGUUCAGAUCUAUGAACUCACUUGAGCCAGGCAUUAUAUCUUACCAUGGGUGGAAGUGUCAGGGUCUCCUGAGCACUGCUAGCCUUCAGAUCUGGAUAGAAGCUUCUGCAGGCAUCAUGACCCACAUCAUAAACUGUCUUCCUCAGACAACUGAAAUGAGCUCAGUCACCAGAUGAAGAGCAGUUCAGAUGGAGACUGAAUCCAGCGUUACUAUGCUUUAUGGGGAAAAUAUUUGCAAGGCACCACACUAGCACUGGGUCAGUGACCAAUGGCACCGGAACAAUUGGAUAGUGAUUAUAAGCAGAAUGUACAAUGGACUUCUCACCAGGGUCAUUUUCGCCCUCUUUCCACAUCCAUCCUAUCAAAAUAAAAUUGAAAGGAAUAAGAAGUGGCCCAAAUUCAUACAGUCACUGAUGAUCCCACAGUAACCACACAGGUCACCCUGCCUGGGGCAAGGAGAGUCCCACAUUUCUUUCCCUCUCGAGUCAGCAGAGCACCAAAUCCCAGAGAAGGAAAGAAGUGACUUGGGACUGGGGUCACUUCAUAUCCACACACCCCAGUAGGGUUCAGCUGCCAUUACGGUGUACCCACACCCUCCACUGAAUCCAAACACCUGGAGGCCUGAUACUGCUCUUAUACUAGAGCAAGUCCUGCUUAACAUGGUCACCAAAAUGACAUCAUGUAUCUAUGGCAACUGCAGGUUUGUCCUAAGCACCACAAAUGCCUUUGCACAGGCCUCCUCUUUGUCCCCUUUCCUUUCUCUGAAACAAAACACCUUCAACUUCAGGACACCUGAGAAAGUACACUAACUAGAGGAACUAGGCUCAGACUCAGGCAAUGGGAAAAACUCUGCCCAGCUUAGUGGAACAAAGAAUAUCCCUGUUGUCAACAGUACCCUCAUUAGGAGAAAUGGAAAGACCCAAAAAGGUAAAAAAUCAAUAAGGUCACAGUGGAAUUCAUAAACAUUAUUAGUUCCCUGGACAUCGUUGGUAUCUAUCUGUAGAAUGCAGAUGGUUUCUAACUUAAAAUGCUUUCGCCUCUGAAUUUGACUGAUGGUCCGGAGGCAUACCCGUACAAUCAUUCUGUUUUUGUUUUUAUUCUUUUACCUUCAGUACAGUAUUCAAUAAAACUACAUGAGAUUUUCAAAACCUUAUCAUAAAACAAUUUUUAAUAGAUGGUUUUGCUAAACCUUAGGCUAAUAUAACUUCACUGUAUAUAUUUAAGAUAGCUAGAUAAAUCAGGCACGGUGGUGCAUGCCUGAAAUGCAAAUGUCUACGAGGCUGAGGGAGGACAAUCACAAUUUCAUGACUAGCCUCAGAAACUUAGCAAGCCCUAAAAAACUUACUGAGACCCUAUCUCAAAAUAAAAUUAAAAGGGACUGGGAGUAUAGCUCAGUGUUUAAAUGCCACUUGAUUCAAUCCCCCAUAAUGAAAAAAGAUGCCUAGACAAAGUUAUGAUAUUCAGUCAUUUAGCUAUAUUAAUGCAUCUUAGAUUUCGGAUUGUUUCAGCUUAUGGGGGCUUAUUGGGAUAUGACCCCAUUAUAAAUUUUAGAACACUUAUACUUUAUCCAAAAAUAGCAGAUUAUACAUUCUUCUCAAGCUCACAUGAAAUAUUCACUGAAGCAGACCAUAUCUUGGGACAUAAUACACCAUAACAAAUUCAAUAGUGUGAUGUGUAUACAAAACUGUACAAUUUUAAAUGAUUAAAAUGUUAUGUUAUAUGCAUUUCCUCUCAAUUUUAAAAAUGUGCGAAAACAGAAGGAAGCAGUAUCAGUAGCCAAGUUGUGAACAAACUCUAAGCAGAAAUCCCCUCAUUGUAGCAUUGUCCUGGAAUCACAGGACACUGUGUAGAAAGGUAUUACUGUUUCCAAGUGGAAGACGUGCAUGAUAGUCCAAAGUAAAAUAUAUUCUUGUGAAUUCUAACCUCUCCCCCAAAAUCUGAAACAUGUAAUCUAUAAUAGCUAGCAAAGGUUUCUGCUGAAGACCGAUACCAUUAGAAAUAAAAUGAUCUAUUUAAUAAAUUCUUCAGUAAUUAGGAUACAAAUUUACAUUUUAGUGAAUAAUGAGAGAAAUUACAUCUAAAUAUUUGUGGUGCAUGGAAUACUGCUUUUUAAAUUACUGAAAUGAAAAUAUUCAUUGAUUAUGAUUUAUUAAUCUAUUUUCUUACUUUUGGUAUUAAAUGUGUAGUACAAAAAAUAUCUGGGACCCAUGCCAAUGCUUUGGUUUGAUUUUUAUCAUCAUAAAAUCCCAAAAUCUUGCUUUACAACAGGGAAAACUAUUGAUAUUAUUAUUGUCCCUUGGACCUCAUGCUAGUGUGCAUUUACUGCCUACUUGCAGCAUCCUCAUGUGGCUGAGUGACAGAUAACUCAUAUCCAUGUUCUUAUAAGGCUACCUUCAUGGCCUCAUCUAAACUUACAGGGAAUACAUUCAAAUAAUAUCCCAUGGGAAUUAGGGCUACAACAUAUCAAAAUUCAGGGAUGGGAACAAAUACAUUCUCUCCACAUAUUAUCUUUUUUUGAGGAAAGUUUAAUAAUUCCAAAGUGUUUUAUUCAUUUGUAAAAUAUUUAUUAUAAUCUCAAAUUUGAAGAUAAACCCAUUAAGUGUUUUUCCUUCAGUAUAUGUAAAAUGGAUAUUUAGAUGUUUCACAAAAGAACUGGGAAUGUCUGUGUUUCUUGCAUACAAAUCUUCCUGUAAUGGAUAGUAUGUACUGUGUAUUCAAGAAAUACUUUUUCAAAUAUUCAUAAAUAAUGCUGCUGCUGUUUCAUCUGUUCAUGGCUAAGACAAUUUUAAAAGCUAAAACAAAUAUGUAAGCUAAAUAAAACAAGGCCAAUCAAAAAAUAGGAGCCAUCUGAUUCCAUUUAAAUAAUAUAUAAGAAAUCAAAACUAAUCUGUUAACAUCAGUGUUUCCCCAGGCUCAGCAUAAUGAGGGGAGAAUGCUCUGGAAAUGUGAUGUUCUGGGAAAAUAAUCAUAAUAGUACUUAAGAGAACCUGGUCAUUUGAAAGAUGUUACUGGGUAUCACUAUAAUAGGGCAAACACAAAAGUAAUUGUUACUUUAAAAUUUUUAAUUUCUCAUAAGUGACAUUUUAAAUUCAUUCUUGGGGCAGUUUUGACUUAAAAAUAAUCAUUAAACAAUGGAUAAAACUAUACUGACAAUUUCAAAUUUCUACAAGGACCUUCCUUGUCAUCAACUACAUAUUUCUGCACACAUAUGAGAGAUACGUGAGAUUUGUUGAAAACAUAGUUAUUGCAUAUGUGUGUUAAGCAGCAAAUUCCUUACAGAAAUAUCCAUUACUUUGUGACAAUGAAACUCAUCACUAAUAUGGCCUCAAGGACUACUAUGAAGCAUGGCAGCUUCUGAAGGCCAAUUCCAACUGCUAAACCUCUUUAUGGAUAAGAUCAAAGUAGCUUCUUUAUUUUCUGGCUAUUUUGUGAACCUUAUGUGUGCUAUUCUACAAUAUACUCUUUUUAAUUUUUUUGUUUGUUCCUUUUAGUUAGACCACAUACUCUUUGUUCAGAGUUAUGAAAUCACUUAAGUCAGGCAUUAUCUCUUACCAGGAUGGAAGUGUUGAAGGUCUCCUGAGCACGCUGCCCUUCAGAUCUGGAGAAGACAUUUCAGCAGCCCUCAUGACCCACAUCCGGAGAAACUGUCUUCUUCAGACUCUUGAUAGGAGCUCAGUCACCAGAGGAAGAGCUGUGCACUGGGACAGAAUCCAGAAAUUACUAUGCAUUUUUGGAGUAACCAUAUCCUUGGAAACAUGCUAGGCAAUGAAAUGAGCAUUCGUGAGCCCACGAUAUCCACAGAGCAAUGGGGCUUAACAUGUGUGUUAUCCCUGAAGGUCCCCGCAGUCCUGUGGCUGAGCACUCUUGCUCUCAUUUUACAGAGGAGAGACUGGGUUACAGAGGGCCGUUCCCUUUCUUACCAUCCAGCACCCCACCUUUACAAGGGACACCCUGGAGCAGGUCAUCACGCUGUCUGGGGCCAGGAGGGCCCCACGUCUUUCUCCCUUUCAUGUCAGCUCGGCAACGAGGCCCAGAGCAGGAAUGAGGCAACUUAGGUCUGUGAUCCCUUUGUGUCCCCACACUCCACGGAGGCUCAGUUCCUACCAAGAGGCACCCACACGCUCCACUGAGUCCAGAUACCUAGAGGCAGGACACUUCUCCCAAACCACAGCAAGUUGGUCUCCUUCAGAAUGUCAUCAUAGUCACCAUAAGGACAUCAGAUUUCUAUGGCAAUCAUGAUGCUCAGUUUGGUGCGCCUUACCAGAAAUGCCUCUUUCUAACAUAUAUAUAAUUUAUUUAUCUUAAUGUGGUGCUGAGGAAGGAACCCAGUGCUCACAUGUGAUAGGGGAGCACUCUAUCACUGAGCCCCAGCACCAGCCCCCAGAAAUACUGCUAAACAGGCCUCCUCUUUAUACCCCUCACCUUUCUCUGAAAGCAAAACUCCUUCUUCGUUCUUCAGGCCACCACUUGAGAAAGUGCACUAAUUAGAGGAGUUAGGCUCAGACACAAGUAAUGGAGAGAACUCUGCACACACCCUCAGAUGAGUCCAAACUCCUGAAGUAGGUCUAGGACACCCUGGCCCAGGGCACCACACUCCCUGAUUCCACAUCUCCCUCCCUUACCUGGCAGCUGAGCACUGAGUCCCAAAGCCAGAAGAAGGCACUAGUACAACUGGGUAGUGUUCAAAACAACAGAAGGUACAAUGGGCUUCUCACCAGGGCCUUUUCCUUCUCUUCUACUCAUCUCUCUUCCUCGAACAACAAAUCUGAAAAGGAGUAAGAAGUAGCUAAAUUCAUACAGGUAUUUAUGAUCCCACAAUAACCACAAAGAACACAUCAUGCUUCCUGGGACCAAGAGGAUCCCACAUCUCUUUCCCUCUCCAAUCAGUUGGGUCUUGUCUCCCAGCACAGGAACUAAGCUACAUGCAUCUGGGGUUCCUUUGUCUCCCCACACCCUAGGGAGGUUCAAACCCCACCAUGAGGCACCCACACACUUUGCUGAGUCCAAACACCUGGAGGUGGUACCGUGCUCUUGAACAAGUUGGUAGCCUUUAGCAUGUCCUCAUAGUCGACAUGAUGUUGUCAGGUUACUAUGGCAACCGUGAUACACAGGCUACUUCUAUACUCAGGAUAUGUUUUGCAUAGUCCUAUCUUCUGGACCUUCUUUCUCCUUUAAAGCAAAAUAACUUCAGGCCACCUGAGAAAGCCUACUAGUUAGGUAGAGUAUGUGGGGAUGCACGCAAUAGGGAGUGCUCUGCCCAGCUUGUUGGAAAAAAAAAAAAAAAACUGUGUGUUACUGGAAUUUUAUUGGCUUUAAAUGAAUUCACAAUCCUGGAGGGUUGGUGGAUAACUGUGAUCUCAGCUACUAUGAAGGCUGAGUAAGGAGAAUCCAAAAUUCAAAGGCAGCCUCAGCACCUUAGCCAGGCCUUAAGCAACGGAGUGAGAUACUGUCUCAAAAUUAAAAAUAAUGAUAAUAACAUUGUGUCCAAGUGAGAACUCAAUAACCUCCCUUUGAAGACAUUGAUGGUGCAGAUGAAAUACCAGUUUAGACUUCUGUAGGUGGUAAUGGGACUAGUAUGUGUGUCAAGGGUUUAUGAUUCCUGCCUCCUAUUUAUCUUCACUCUUCUUUCAUUUGGGGAUUAGUGGGAAACUAUUUCCCUAACAUCAAAUUAGAAUAUCAAAUAAGUGGACAGAAAAUGAUACGGAAUAAAUUAAAUGGUUUAAUCCUCUUUCUGGUUCUCAGGAAGGCCCUCCUGCAAUACUGAGAUGGCCCCAAGCUUGAUUCAUGAUGUAAAUGUGAAUAUUUGAUGCUGCUUUCUGCUAAAUUUCCCAGUAGUCUCCAGGGCAGGUGUGCUCUUUGGUUUGGAUAACUGUAGUCACUUCUCUGGGAGAGGAGAAAUUUAAGGCAGGACAAACAUUGGCUGAAAUCUAACUUCAUACCAUGUACUCUAAAGAGGAUUUCUCACUGACACAUUUUGUAAGGAGGGCAUAGUGAGUCCCCUUUCACAAAUGAUCAAGUUUAGACCAAUAAUGGCUAAGGAAGAAUUCCAGUGCCACACAUCAAGUAGCAGGAAUGGGAUCACACAGUUACUCUCAUUGAAAUGUCACAUGCAUUCUCAACAGGAUGAUACUACACACAAGAGGCUUCAAACAGGUUCUCAGGGGUAGGGGGAUGCUACAUAUUAUAAUGUUUUGCGACACUACAAAGAACCAGAACACAGAGUUAACAGUCCAUCUAUGAUAUAAACAUUUCAUAUUCUGGGCAGUGUUGAGAGCCACAGCCGAAGGGGGUUUUUCCUGAAGAGCUGUGUGGUGUGGUGUGUGUGUUCUAAAAAUAAAGUUCGUUUCUUUUGACAAGUGGCUUCUGAAUUGUGCCCAGCCAGACUGCGGCAGGGCAGAAUGUUUACAAAGAUGAAAAUGUCUAAAUGGGGAGAUAAUAAAAUGAUGAAAAGUGUUAUAUCCCCAAAGACUUCACAUUGAUGAUGGGCCACUAGGGCUUAAUGAUAUUGGACAGAGAGUAAAUCGAAAUAACAGGUGUUUCCUCUAAACAGAUGAUCUGGAAGAUAAGAUUUAAAUUUUUAAAACUAAUAUAACAAAAUGAUACCCUAAAUAUUAUCUCCUCCAACCUGAAUCUUUAUUUAAGUAAUUUGUUAUUAAAUCUAUACUUCAGAUUUGAAAAAAAAAAAAAAAGUGACGCAGGACUGAUCACACACUUACCUGGGAAUGAAAGUGGGUUUAUUGUCAGGAGCCUUACAGAGCUGCUCUGUACAAAGAGAGGGACAGCAGCAGUAAGCGAGGGACAGCAGUAGCAACUCCCCCUUGAAUGUUACCUUUUGUAGGCUAGAAUCAUGGUCGCGCACCAGGGGCAGGUUUAGUGUUGACGGAUAUAGUAAGCAUCCCCUGAUCUUGUGGAAGGCAAGUUUGUUUCUUGGGAACAGAGACAGGCAGUUUUCCUAUCUCUCAGAGGGGGAACAGGGAAACCAGAAUGUCCCCAUCUCAGGGGCCAGUAAGUUGUCUCCUAUCCCUCAAUGAGAGAACAGGGAGAGACAGCAUGUCUCCAGGCGGAUAGGUUUUAUCUCGGGCUACUUUCGAUAUCUUGGGAAUGAGAACAGUAUUCAUAAAGUGGAUGUGGGAGAAAGGAAGAUGGCUGUAAUUAUGGUAACAAGAUUGGGUUGUGGGAAGUUGGGAAAGCUCAAUUCAAUCAUUAAAACUGUGUUGUUGAUGCCUGCUCAGUAGUGGAGCCUGGAAUCUCACUAAAGCUUUGUGUCCCGAUGCUGCCAAGAAUCUGAGUGCUCUGAUCUCCCUGGAAAAGCACAUUCCAGGAUGCAUCACAAAAAUCAGGAUGCUGGCCUUUCCUUCAAGUGAAAUGACACAACCCAUAAAAUAAGAGUGCAUAAAUCCAAAGUGAUAAAAACAAAUAUCUGAGUUAAUAAAGAAAUGGGAAAUAAGAGACAAACUAGCUUCAUCCAAUAAUGCCAGAUAACAUAUGCAGCUACCUGCCCUCCAUAUUAAUUCUCAUCCCAACUCCUGAGGGGAGAACUGACUUAGUGACUCACUUGUGAAGACAACAGUAAGCAGAUAGAACACAGUCACUGUCCACUUGAGAACCUUGGCAAACAUCACCUUAACCAAGUGAUGAAGGUUAGCAUCACCAGCGAUUUUAUGUGAAUAUCCUGUCCUCCCAGAGAGAAUGUGAUGAGGAGGCACUUCACAUCUCUGAUAUUUCCCCUUAAAACCCAUGGUCUAAACAGGAGGAAAACAACAGACUAAGUUGGUGAUCCUCAAGGCUGCCAAGGUCAUGAAAACCCUCUGGCAGUGGUUCUCACCAUUAAACAGGGAGUUUUCAUGUGUCAUCAAUUGCACUCCUAGGCAAACAACCAAAAUAAAUGAAAACCCAUGUCUACAUAUAAACUGACACAGGAACGUAUGUAGCAUCAUCAUCUUUCAUAACAGCCAAAAAGUGGAAAUAACCCACGUGUUUUCCUCUUCAUAAAUGGACAAAUAAAAUGGAGUACUAUAUUUUUCAUCAAUUAAAGGAAUGGAAUACUAAUAUGUUAUAAUAGGGAUGAACCGUGAAAACAGGUGAAGAAGCAAGAAGCAAAAGACCAAGCAUUGUGUGGUUCCAUUUGUAUAAAAUGUAUGGAAUAUGCAAAUCUGGAGACACAGACAUGCAUUUCUUGGGGCUGAGGUUAGGAUCAGGGUUUAACUGUGUUGAGAAUGAUGCCACAUUAUAGGGUGAUGGAAAUAUCUAACACUCUGUUCCUCAACUUUAUACCAAAAACCAUCAAGCUGUACCUUUAGAAGGAGUACAUGGAUAAUUAUAUUGUUUUUAAAUUAUACUGCAAGAAAUCUGUUAAAAAUACAAUAUUGGUGUGAGCUUCUGUUGUAUUGCAAAACACUCAAACUUUGUUCUUACCAUGUUUUGAUGCACAUGUAUUUGAUAAACAUGAAUAUAAAUAAAACUGCGGCUGUAUCCUACCCUGCUGACUCAAUG